rnacentral:rRNA from 1 species
ACUAGCCGUGCGAGUCAUUGUAGCAAUACAAGGCAGACGGCUCAGUAACGCGUAGUCAAUCUACCCUAUGGACGGGAAUAACCUCGGGAAACUGAGAAUAAUGCCCGAUAGAACAUUAUGCCUGGAAUGGUUUAUGUUUCAAAUGAUUUAUCGCCAUAGGAUGGGACUGCGGCCUAUCAGUUUGUUGGUGAGGUAAUGGCCCACCAAGACUAUUACAGGUACGGGCUCUGAGAGGAGUGGCCCGGAGAUGGGUACUGAGACACGGACCCAGGCCCUAUGGGGCGCAGCAGGCGAGAAAACUUUGCAAUGUGCGAAAGCACGACAAGGUUAAUCCGAGUGGUUUCUGCUAAAGAAACCUUUUGUCAGUCCUAGAAACACUAACGAAUAAGGGGUGGGCAAGUUCUGGUGUCAGCCGCCGCGGUAAAACCAGCACCUCAAGUGGUCAGGAUGAUUAUUGGGCCUAAAGCAUCCGUAGCCCGUUUUGUAAGUUUUCGGUUAAAUCCAUGCGCUUAACGUAUGGGCUGCCGGGAAUACUGCAUAACUAGGAAGUGGGAGAGGUAGACGGUACUCGGUAGGAAGGGGUAAAAUCCUUUGAUCUAUUGAUGACCACCUGUGGCGAAGGCGGUCUACCAGAACACGUUCGACGGUGAGGGAUGAAAGCUGGGGGAGCAAACCGGAUUAGAUACCCGGGUAGUCCCAGCUGUAAACUAUGCAAACUCAGUGAUGCAUUGGCUUGUGGCCAAUGCAGUGCUGCAGGGAAGCCGUUAAGUUUGCCGCCUGGGAAGUACGUACGCAAGUAUGAAACUUAAAGGAAUUGGCGGGGGAGCACCACAAGGGGUGAAGCCUGCGGUUCAAUUGGAGUCA